AUUGAACGCUGGCGGCAGGCCUAACACAUGCAAGUCGAGCGAGCGGCGGACGGGUGAGUAAUGUCUGGGAAACUGCCUGAUGGAGGGGGAUAACUACUGGAAACGGUAGCUAAUACCGUAUACCAUCAGAUGUGCCCAGAUGGGAUUAGCUAGUAGGUGGGGUAACGGCUCACCUAGGCGACGAUCCCUAGCUGGUCUGAGAGGAUGACCAGCCACACUGGAACUGGAGCACGGUCCAGAGUCCGACGGGAGGCGGCAGGGGGGAACAUUGCACGAUGGGCGCGAGCCUGAUGCAGCCAUGCCGCGUGUAUGAAGAAGGCCUUCGGGUUGUAAAGUACUUUCAACGGGGAAGCGUUACCCGCAGGAGGAGCACCGGCUAACUCCGUGCCAGCCGCCGCGGUAAUAC
rnacentral:rRNA from 1 species